AACGAACGCUGGCGGCAGGCUUAACACAUGCAAGUCGAACGCCCCGCAAGGGGCGUGGCAGACGGGUGUUUAACGCGUGGGGACAUACCCUUUCCUGCGAAAUAGCUCCGGGGAACGGGAAUUAAUACCGCAAACGCCCUACGGGGGAAAGAAUGAUCGGGAUAGGAUUGGUCCGCGUUGGAUUAGAUAGUUGGUGGGGUAAAUGCCUACCAAGGCGACGAUCCAUAGCUGGUCUGAGAGGAUGACCAGCCACAGUGGGACUGAGACACGGCCCAAACUCCUACGGGAGGCAGCAGUGGGGAAUAUUGGACAAUGGGCGCAAGCCUGAUCCAGCCAGGCCGCGUGAGUGAUGAAGGCCUUAGGGUUGUAAAGCUCUUUCAACGAUGAAGAUAAUGACGGUAGUCGGAGAAGAAGCCCCGGCUAACUUCGUG
rnacentral:rRNA from 1 species